rnacentral:rRNA from 1 species
AGAGUUUGAUUCUGGCUCAGAGCGAACGCUGGCGGCAGGCUUAACACAUGCAAGUCGAGCGGGCGUAGCAAUACGUCAGCGGCAGACGGGUGAGUAACGCGUGGGAACGUACCUUUUGGUUCGGAACAACACAGGGAAACUUGUGCUAAUACCGGAUAAGCCCUUACGGGGAAAGAUUUAUCGCCGAAAGAUCGGCCCGCGUCUGAUUAGCUAGUUGGUGAGGUAAUGGCUCACCAAGGCGACGAUCAGUAGCUGGUCUGAGAGGAUGAUCAGCCACAUUGGGACUGAGACACGGCCCAAACUCCUACGGGAGGCAGCAGUGGGGAAUAUUGGACAAUGGGCGCAAGCCUGAUCCAGCCAUGCCGCGUGGAGGUAGAAGGCCCACGGGUCGUAAACUCCUUUUCUCAGAGAAGAAGCAAUGACGGUAUCUGAGGAAUAAGCAUCGGCUAACUCUGUGCCAGCAGCCGCGGUAAGACAGAGGAUGCAAGCGUUAUCCGGAAUGAUUGGGCGUAAAGCGUCUGUAGGUGGCUUUUUAAGUCUGCCGUUAAAUCCCAGGGCUUAACCCUGGAUAAGCGGUGGAAACUACCAAGCUGGAGUACGGUAGGGGCAGAGNNNANUUCCGGUGGAGCGGUGAAAUGCGUAGAGAUCGGAAAGAACACCAA